GCUCUUUCAGAUCAGCAGCUGCUAUCCAAUUGCAGAAUGUGAUGGAGUUCACGAUCAUGUGGUUUGCCAUCGUGUUUCUUGUGUUUGUAUGAAUAUUCAUGUACACAACUUCAUUUCAUUCUAGCUGGAAAACCUUGUGUAAAUCACUUUUCCUCCCUAGGAUCCAAUUUUCUAAUCUCGCAGAAAGAAGGAUUAGUCCCUUCCAUUUUAAGAAACUGUUUCCUAUGGACCCAUAGCCGAAAGGUUAUUAUUCUACAGAUGAGGAUCUUGGGGCCUAGAGGUGUACAAAGCAACUUUCCUAAGACCAUACUUCAUUUAGAAAAUACUGGACUCAAAAUGAGAUCCCUUAACUCAAAAAUCUAUUUUCUUUCUACUAACAAGGCUAAAUAAAGAUGUUGGGCUAUACCAAAAUUUUUAAGGCAUCCCUGUAAUUUACCACACCCUCUUUAUUCUCUGUUCCAGCACUUCUGGAGGGUUCUCUGAGCCCAGAAGCCUACACAUGUUUGGCAAUCCCAGAUGCACAUUCUUCCUGUCACCAGUGGGGCUGUGAACUGGUUGUUCGGGCUGAAAGAAGAAAAGUUAAAACGCACUUUCAGGUUAAAAGAAAUGCUGUCUGAGUGACGGAAGAUGGAUUGACAAUGCUUCUUUUCAUAUCCAGAUGGUGUCUAUCUCUGGGUCCAUGGCCUGCUUAUUCAAGGGGCAUUGGAGGAGGUGCAUUUCAUUGCAGAGAUGAACUCAAGUUUGAAUGUUGAUCCGAGAAGCUGAACGCUCAGAGGCUCACAGUGGCUUUACUAGGCCAGGAAGUCAGGACCCUGUCGGCAAAGAGAAAUUGAGAAUAAAGAAACCUCCUGAAUAAUUCAGACGGAGAAUUUGUCAGAAGUGAUCUUUGAGUACAGCUAAGAGAAUGGACUGGGGAGCACUACUGCAGACAAGGAGGCCAGGAGUCUGAACUCAGCAUCCCUGGGCUGAAGUCAAGAGUUUGGAAACAGCUGAUUAAUUUUUUUCUGGACUGAAAUGAUCAUAGCCAGGCUGUGUGGAGUAAGGUUUUAGGUGCUUGGUCGCCCACAUUACCCUGACACGCCCAGAAUCAUUUUCUGAGGGAAUCCGAGCCCUGCUAUGAGGGUUCUCCUGUGUCUGGCUCUGCAGAGAGGUGAGGUGGGGCGCAUGUACCUUCUGGGUCUUCAUGGAAGUGUGAUCAUACGCAGACACCCAGUCGAAGGACAUAGGCCUGCCUUUGGCUGGUGCCAUGGAAUGCCUGAACCCUUGGUGUUAGGACUGUGUUUAUGAAGCAUUGCCUCCUGGGAUUCAGCCGGGCCACUGGAAAACUGUACAAUCUGGAUUUGGAUCUUACCACCUGAGGUUUGGUGCAAAGCCAUUUCACUGCGCUGAGAUGUGUCAUAAAUGGAUCCACAACACGGCCUCCCAGAACCAUGGCCACAUUUGCUGCAGGGAUGCUGUUGACGGUGAUGGUCUGUCGAUCAUUACAUCACACAGCCCUUUUUAAGAGCCUCAAGUGAGACAUUUUCUGUAAGUCUCAGUACCAGGAUAGAGGUUUUUUUUUUUCCCUGAGUUUGUUUUUCAUUUUAUGAAUACUGUAAAGCAUGUAAAUGAACACAUUUCCCUCUUUGAUGGAGAAACGCAGAGCUACAUUUGCUGCUUUCUUCUCUAAAGUACUCAGGACUCUGUGGGUAUAUAUUUUAUAUGCUAAUUCCAGCUUCAUCUUAUUUGUUUCUACCUUAAAUUUUCUCUUUAUCUCUUUACUUCACUGAUUUGCUAUCGUGUGUACAGAAUGUGUUUCCUAAGUCACCUCAGAUAUUUCUGAAAUGAAGAGAAUUGAGGGCGCAGAGGUUUAAAAUGUGAGUUUUUAUGGUAGGAUGAUCUGAGGUUGGAUUCCUGCCCUGCCACUUAGGACAUGUGUGACCUUGGAUAACGUAUCUGACUUUGAUCGAGCUCCGGAUCCUCAACUGUACAAUGGGAUGGCAAGAGCACCAGUUUUUUUUUUUUUAAGGCUGCUGUAGGCGGUAAAUAGAAAGCAUUUAAUACAGUGCCUGGCAUAUGGUCAGCGAUAAAUCAGUGUUACAUAAUUAAUGCUAUUGUUAAUAUUAAAACUAGUGAAAGGAAAAUUAAAAUGUGAAUAAAUUAAUUUAUCUACUUUUUAUCGACUGGAGGAGAGAAGGGCCAGUCUCAUCCUGCCAGGGCAUUUCCUCGAUUCCUGUGGGUUGGGGCAGCCUGGCGAAUUAAUUGUACAAACUCCAAUGAUGAUGGCUUAAAAUCCUGUAGAAGUUCACCUAGGCCUCUGAGAAAGAUUUUUAUUUUUUAUGUUUUAACUAGAAGGGUAUGGAGAAAGGGUCAUAACACGUUAAAGUAUACUACUGACUGCAUUAUUGACCUGUAUUACGUUUUAACAGUAACUCCAAAAAUUAUUACCAUCUGAAAAACAAUUCCAAACAAUAAUGUUGUGGCUUCUCUGUAUAUGCUGUCAUCAACUCAGAGGGGGUAUUGCUAGCUACUAGCCACAUACCCUGAAACUUAAACAGUAAAAUGAAAUGGAACAGUAGAUGAUUAUAAUAUUGUAGAAUAGGCUGGUAUUGUUACAGUGGCUAAAGUGAUGUAUUCGAGAAAGAAUAGUAAUACCAAGGUGGUGUCUUUAUUAAGGUGCUUUAUAAACAUGAACCUAUUAUUCCCCCAAGGAGCUCUUUCAAAUACCAUAAGCUCCACACACCAGACUAAGAACUCAUUUUAGUCUGGGCUUUUAUGUGCUUAACUCAUCUUUGAUUCUGUUCCAGCAUCCAGCACAUGCCUGGCACAAAUGUUUCUUGACAGAGUAAAUGAAUGAAUAGGUUGCUCCACAUCGUGAGAAGCCAACCAAGAACUGGACAAUCUCUCCAGAGGCAUCAGGACCAAAAAAAGCUUGGUGACCUGUGGGUUGAUGAACAAGCACCUGGAAGUCUUUAAAAAUUUUUUUAAAUGUUUAGUUUUGAGAGAGAGAGAGAGAGAGUGUGUGUGUGAGCAGGGGAGAAGCAGACAGGGACACAGAAUCUGAAGCAGCCUCCAGGCUCUGAGCUGUCAGCAGAGCCCGAUGCGGGAUUCGAACUCGUGAAUCAUGAGAUCAUGACCUGAGCUGAAGUCGGACGCUUAAUCGACUGAGCUAGACAGGUGCCCCUUCUACUGGAAGUCUUUAAUGCUGGGAACAUGGGAGAAGGGGUUGCAUUCAUUCAUUCAUUCACUCAUUCAACAGAUUUUUGUUUUAAGUCACUAUUAUGGGCCUGAUGCUAUGCUGGCCAUAGAGGACAUAGAAGACAAGGAAAAUAGAAGACAAGGCGCUGUCCUCCUGGUACUGAGCACACAAUAACAAAGACAUGUGCCAGGCACAAGGCAUUCUAUGGCAUGACAAAGAAGGAUACCAAAUCCACCCCUGGACACACACAGGGAAAGCUUUCAUGAAGAGUGGGCAUACAAGGGUUGAGUUGGAUGUCUUGACCAGGUAAAGGGGGUGGGGGCAGGAUAGCUAGAAAAUGAGAGAGCACAUAAUACACAAGAGCCCCUGGCCAUGCUGAGUCAGUGCGGCUGGGGUAGAAAGAAUACAAGAACGUGUUCAGGUCUCAGACUGGCGAAGAAAGGAGAGGGGCCUGCUCGGCAGAGCCUUGCCUUCUAGGAUAAGGAAUAUCACUUUACGCUGAGAGCAUAAAUCAAUCAAUGGACAUUGAUUGAAAGUUUGAAGCAGGAGAGUUUCCCAAUCAGAUCUGAGUUUAGAAAGCUCACUCUGGAUGCCCUGGAGAAUGGAUUUCAGGGUGGAGACUAGAGACAGGGAAACCACUGAAUAAGGAGGCUGGGAUGUUGACCAGGCAACAGAGGGUGGACGUGAAAGAUCGUUGGGUGUCCUUAGUGAUUGGAUGUGACUGGGGACUGAAGAGGAAGAGCCAAAGCUAUCUUCAAAGGAAUGAAAAAAGUAAGAUCGAUGAUGUUUCCUUUGAGUACUGGGUGGACAUUUUCCCACUUCUAACUCUUUCCAAAGCCACCUUGUGACACAUGGGCAGGACUGUGAGAUGUGCAUCCGGCAAUGUGAGAGGCCGUCCCAAAGUUGUGGGAGCUCCUCUUUGCCUCAUUUCCAAUGUCACUAUCAUGGUGGCAUGGCAGCUGCAAUCAGGGAAGCUGUGGGAGCCUAAGGACCCCUCUGUUAGGAGGCUUUAAGAUCUUUGGACACUGCCUUGUGCAGAUGAAUGUGGGUCAGGAUGUGCCUAUGAAGACCCUGUCUUCUAUUUUCCUUGUCUUCUAUGUCCUCUAUGGCCAGCAUAGCAUCAGAACCAUAAUAGUGACUUAAAUCUAAAUAGAAAACAGGUGGAAAUCAAUGAAUCAGAUAAUCAUGGCAUUGGGCUUCUUGGGAUUUGGAAGCAGAAAACCUGCAUCCAGGCUCCAUUUGGGGUAAGCUGGGGAAAAUCAUUUAAGCUCCAACUAAAAUGUCAUUAAACGUCAACACUAAAAACUCUAAUGACUUACACAAAUCCAGGAGUCGCUUAUACUCUAUGAAUUUUAGUUUUCUUCUUUAUAAAAUGAGAAUUUAAAUGUCUGCCUAUACAUAUCUUGAAUGAAAUAAAUCACAUGUGUACUCAUGCUUUGAAACCGGUAAUAUGGUUAACUAUGUGUGUGUUGGAAACCUGUGAGGGUUGCCAGGUGAUGUGUUGAGCAUGGAUUUGACAAGUCAGACAUUUAGGUUCUGGAUAUGUCACAAGCCAGCUCUUGGCAAGUAGAGUAGGUUGUUCCCCAAAUGGCAUCCAGUAAUCACCACCUCCUGAUAUCUACUCCCUUGUGUAACCCCCACUUUGUGUGUGUGUGUGUGUGUGUGUGUGUGUGUGUGUGUGUGUGUGUGUGUAUUGGAACUAGUGUUGACUGAGUAGAAUAUGGUGAAAUUCAUGGGAUAUCACCUUGGAGAUUAGGUUGUAAAAGACUAUGAUAUCUGUUUGGUUCUCUCUCUUUCUCUGCCUCUGAUGAAGCAAACUGCCAUGAAGAGGCUCAUGUGACUGAAGGCAACCUCCAGCCAAGUGGUGUGGAACUGGAGCCCUCGGCCCAGUAGUCCAUGAGGAACUGAAUCCUCCAGUAACCAUGUGAGUGAGCUUGCAAUCAGAUUCUUCCCCAGUGGAGCCUUGACAUGAAUGUGGUUCCUGCUAAUACCUCGACUGUAGCUUCGUGAGAGACCCUAAGCCAGAGGACCUAGCUAAGCCAUGCUGUGAUUCUUGACUCACAGAAACUGUGAGAUAGUAAAUGUUGUUUUAAGCCACUAAGUUUUGGGAGAUUUUUUUUACGUGGCCAUAUGUAAUGACUAUCAAGUUACUCAAUCUCUCUGAGUUCCAGGGUCUUCCUCUAUGAAAUGGAAUCCUAAGCCUACAUGCAGAAGUUAUAGCAAGAAUUCAGUGAGACAAUGGAUCUAAGCCAAAUACAGUGCCUGGCACCUAGUAGACAGUAAAUGGUUGUUAACGUUAUCGAAAAGGCAGCAGAGCCCCAGGACAGUUGAAUGGUACAUACUACGGGGCACUGAGUUUAGGGUAGCACCUUCAUGUCUACCCUGUGAUAGAAAACCACACUGUACUGUUAAUGUUUGUUCAGUUGUGUGUCUUCUGCAGUUGACUUUGAACUGGAUGAGGAUGAAGGUAUGUAUUUUGUAAAAUACAUACACCCUAUUCCUUGUGCCUAGUAACAUUCAGUGAAGGUUUGUUAAAUGAGUGAAUAAAUAAUUGAAUUAAU